AGCCAGCCUUCGGCAGUAGCCUGCCCACUCAGUUCAUCUGCGGCAGGCCCGCGCUGCCGAAUCCCCUUGGGAGUUGGAACCAGGUGGACGCUGCAGGCUGCCUCUGAGCCGGGUGGGAGCACCCUACUCAAGUCCUCGCCCGGGACCCAGCAGUGCAGCACCCAGGAACCUUAGCAGAAUUCUGAGGACAGAAGAGGCCUUCCUUUACUCGAGCCUGAGGUGGGUUCGCACAACCCGCUCAUCUCCUCGGCUUGAGGAAGGUGACUGGCUCGGUCCCUUCCAGAGGACCAAGGGCACUGGGUCCGGGCUGGGAGCAAACUCCGGCCAGAGGCUAAGAAGGUGGCGCUGAUGCUGGGCAGGCGGCCUCUAGUGAGAGAUUUCGUAGGAGCGCGACUUUCAGAGGAUCCCAGGAAGUCCGGCCUGGAGUCUGGGUCCCAGAGCAGAGGAGUCUUCAUUCUCCAUUUCUCCCUUUUUACAUCUCAAGCAAGCAUUAAAGAAGCAUAAUGAAAAGUGGGGAGGGGGGGGUCCAGUGACUGUCCCAACUGGAGGCGGCGAAUAUCAUUUUUACAACCUCUCAAUUAGCAACCCGGUGGAUUAGCACCCUCUUAAGCUUUGCCUAAGAAAGAAGCAGCCAUAAUCUUGUUGCUAUUUCCCCCCAGGGCACUGGCUCUUUCAAUCAGCUCCUUCUCCCACCCACCACCCCCACCUCACCUCGGAGAAAAGUUUUAACAACAACAACAAAAAAAAAAAAAAAAUCAGAGGAGGCUAGAAGCCUGGAGUGAAUGCGGCUUACGUCAUUAAGUGGGGAUGGGGGCUCCGAGUGGGACUCUUGGAAACUGCACAAACAAGAAAAGAAAGGACUUGGCUGCUUCUAGUGUGUCAAUAUUUGGGGAGGGGAGCUCAGGAACAGAAACAGGCAGACAGUUUCUGGAGUUUAAGGAGAAGGGUAAGAACCAGGAACGCUCUCUGUGGGUUAGUCUCAAAGAGCAUGGAGGAGCUGUUUUGUCUUUGGUGGAUCCUCAUUUCUGCCAAGUACCUGCUGUGGGGACGACGAGAACUGGGAGGAGGAGAGCUAAAACCAGGGUGCAAGCCGUCCACAAAAUUGAGACAACACUCAGGUCGCCAUUUUAACUGCGGCUUCCAACACGUCGGAGGCCCAUUCACUUUCCUCCAGCGCAGGGAUGGAUAGGCUGGCGAAGUUAGGCUUUAGGUUUUCUUCUCCCCCCCCCCCCUCCUUUCACCACUACUCUUUGCUUCUCUUUCCUCCACUCCACCCUCUAGCGCUCGCGGAGGGGACCUCUUUUCUGCUGGCAGGAGUGUUCCCGCAGGGGCCGCGCCGUGGUCCCACCGGGUAACAGAAAGCAGUUGGUGUGGAGGGAGUGGCGCUGGGGGGCAUCGCGGCUUGCCCAACCGUAUUCAGAACCUCUAGCCAACAUGGAGGCCUAAGUGUGAGUCUUCCUCAGAAUCUCACUCCCAAUAGUCCCUGGCAUUUGCCUGUGCCCACCGCCAUCAGGUCUCCUUCCCGAGAGCGGCCCCUGGCGAGGCAAAGGAGUGCCCAGCUUCAGAACCACCAGUAUUCCACUCGGUGUGCCGACAUCCCCCCAAACUCCCGUUGUUUGACUGGUCCAAGCUGAGGUGUGGUGCUGGUACCCUGGGAAGGAUGAAGAUCCAUUUCUUUGAAGGAGGAAAGUCUCAACAAACACCUGCAACGCUUUACAAAGCCCCAAACGUGUCUCUUUCUGCAGGCCCUGAAAGCCGAAUAAACACAAUCUCCAAUAAACAUCUCUAAUGAGGGAGGAGGCCCGAGGAUGGCUGGGUUUGAUUUAUGACUGGAGGAGAAGGUCCACUUCCUACUGCGAAGCGGGCAACCUGCUCACAUUCAGCUCCCGGAAAAGGAACCCGCGGAGGAGAGGACCCCUGUCCAGACUGCAUUUCUCAUCCUGCAGAUGAUCCUACAAAAUUUGUGUCCAAGUUGUAAUCAGUUUCCAGAACCCACACUGUCUCUCAGAAGUGGUCACCCACCGAGUCAAUGAAGAGAAGAGGCCACUGGAACUGGGAGAUACAAAAAUUCAGGAGCCGAUGACCUCAGGCAGCCCAGCCAGAGGACUUCACGCUGAAGACUGGUUUCUGUUAGAACAUUGGCACCAUGUGAUGAAGCCAGAGGCACAGGACUCGAGGAUGCAGAGGGCUCAAGGAUCCAGUGCUGGUGACAUCUCUGAGCCAAAGGGGGGAUGCUGCCUGGUAGGAGGAAGGAGGGCUAGGUCUGGUCAUGUUCCCUGCCCUGGAACAUUCCCUUCUCCAUUUGGAAGCCUCCUAACCUGAAGCACAAAUGAGACCCCCUGGGAUCCCAAAAUAGCUCCCCUCACAGCUGCACAGCAUCCUUUUAUAGCCCUGUCUGUCUGUAGCAUUGGCCUUCCCUUGACAGGCACUCCUGAGGUCAGUGCUGCCGAGCGCCGGGCUCAAUGUCAUUUGAGUGCAGAAACCUUCAUAAAAGGCCUAUUAUGGUGGUGUCACUGUCUUUAGGACUUGCCACAAACCUCAGAGAUUUUAAAGGGCCAAAUUUGUUUUGAUUCAGAGCCAGAACACUUUAUGUCCAAGAAUAACCUAGAAGUUGGUCAGCCCCCCGGUCCUACACCCAGCACAACGUGAGAACGAUAUGUUUAGGAGCAAUAAAACACUACGUACUGAUUUCUCUCCAGGCUGAGAAAACUGUGUUCCUCCAAGGAAGAUUCACUAUCCCACUUUAUGUAAAUAAAGUUCUCUUCUUAGUGAUAGGAAUUGGAGUCAUUCAUUCAUUCAUUUAUUCAUUCAACCUAUCCUUGCUGUUCAUCCUGAAUGUUCUGUUACAAAGCAAAGAAACACGUGGACCUGGCCAGUUAGUCUAUACUUCCUUCUCAAACUGCACCUGACCCACUUUCCAACACACAGCCAACUUCUAGACAGGGCCUGAAAUAUCCAUUAGAGGCUCUCAGGCCUGAGUAGAGUCACCAAGACAGAUGGAACCCUGGUGACCUGUCACAUUCUGGUGAGCCUACUUCUGCUGUCUG